GAAAGUAUCUGAGGCGUGAUAGAGGCUGGCACUAGAGAAAAAGUGCCAGACUGAAGAGUAUAUGAAAUUGAUCACCUCAAUGGGGGAGGGGCCCCAGGAGUGAAAUCCAGAAGAGAGAAGACUCUGGCUGGAGAGCAGUGAGGGUCUCUCAGUCUUGAGACAUCCAAGAGAGAAGGUGGAUAAAGACUUUCUCCUGAGGGUUACCCAUUUUCCUGCUGGUGACUGGAAAUUCUUCCCUCCAACACUUCCCAAUUUAAGGGACUUUCUGAAGAGAAACUGAGCAGAUUUUACCUCAGCUCCUGUUGCCCAGGGCUCAUUUUACCACUGAGGAAACUGAGGCAAACAGAGUUGAGUGACGUUUCUGGCCAGGAAGUAUCUGAGACUGUGCCCAUGAGUUGCUCUUCAGCCUGCAACACUCCCAGGUUCAAGUAGAUGAGAGAACUGAAGCAAAUGAGGUUAAGUGACUUGCCCUGGGGCACACAGAUAAUAAGUGUCUGAGGCCAGAUUUGAACUGCAGGCUUGACACUCUAUCCAUUGUACCAGAUGAGGAAAAUUCAAGGAAGUUAAGCGACUUGCCUGAUGUCACCCAAGUAAUAAGCAUUGGAAGUAAUCAAUGUCCAGAGAAAGCACACCACAGCUGGUGUUCUUUUCCAGUAUUAUUUCCUGGUCUAUAAAGUCAGAGACUUAGAGUAGUUUCCAAGGGGCUAUGCAGCUAUAGAUGUCAUAAGUAUGAUUCCAUUUUGUUUCUGUACAACUUUCUAGAGAAUCACUUGCUAAAUAAAGUAAUCAAACUGCAU
rnacentral:lncRNA from 1 species